rnacentral:rRNA from 1 species
UGGUGCCAGCAGCCGCGGUAAUUCCAGCUCCAAUAGAGUAUAUAAACGUUCCUGCAGUUAUUCGAUGCUCGUAGUUGGAUUUCUGAGGUUGAGACGGGAGGGUGGCUAUGGCCAUCGCCCCGACUCUUUCCUCAUCCACCUGUUUGCGAAGUCCGGGAUUGAUUUCUCGGCUUCGGGCGCAGUAUCUUACCAUUUCAAUAUUCGUAGUCUUCAUCGAUUAUGUUGUUUCUUUGAGCAAAUUAUAGUGUUUCAGGCAGGCGUGCGCCGGAAUACAUUAGCAUGGUAUAAACGAAUUGGACCGUGUGCCCGUUAACUGGGGCUUCUCCUUAUUGUUGGUUUGAAGGACACGGAGAUGGUUAAUAGGGACAGCGUUUAUUUCACAAGGAGGCAUUAGUAUUUAAUUUCCAGAGGUGAAAUUCUUUGAAAUAUUAAAGACUAACUUAUGCGAAAGCAUCGUUUGCCAAUGAUGUUUUCAUUAAUCAUUGAACG